AUACGGAGGGGGUUAGCGUUGUUCGGAAUUACUGGGCGUAAAGCGUACGUAGGCGGAUUGGUAAGUUAGAGGUGAAAUCCCAGGGCUCAACCCUGGAACUGCCUUUAAUACUGCCAGUCUUGAGUUCGAGAGAGGUGAGUGGAAUUCCGAGUGUAGAGGUGAAAUUCGUAGAUAUUCGGAGGAACACCAGUGGCGAAGGCGGCUCACUGGCUCGAUACUGACGCUGAGGUACGAAAGUGUGGGGAGCAAACAGGAUUAGAAACCCGAGUAGUCC
rnacentral:rRNA from 1 species